rnacentral:rRNA from 1 species
GGCGAACGCUGGCGGCGUGCCUAAUACAUGCAAGUAGAACGCACAGUUUAUACCGUAGCUUGCUACACCAUAGACUGUGAGUUGCGAACGGGUGAGUAACGCGUAGGUAACCUGCCUGGUAGCGGGGGAUAACUAUUGGAAACGAUAGCUAAUACCGCAUAAUAUUAAUUAUUGCAUGAUAAUUAAUUGAAAGGUGCAAUUGCACCACUACCAGAUGGACCUGCGUUGUAUUAGCUAGUAGGUGAGGUAACGGCUCACCUAGGCGACGAUACAUAGCCGACCUGAGAGGGUGAUCGGCCACACUGGGACUGAGACACGGCCCAGACUCCUACGGGAGGCAGCAGUAGGGAAUCUUCGGCAAUGGACGAAAGUCUGACCGAGCAACGCCGCGUGAGUGAAGAAGGUUUUCGGAUCGUAAAGCUCUGUUGUAAGAGAAGGACGGGUGUGAGAGUGGAAAGUUCACACUGUGACGGUAUCUUACCAGAAAGGGACGGCUAACUACGUG